GCAAUUCCUGCGUACGCGAGCCGGUCAUUAGCAAACAGGAACACAGCGGCAGGACAGCAAACAUGUCAGACAAGAAACAGACCGUGGACCUGGGUUUACUGGAGGAGGAUGAUGAGUUUGAAGAAUUCCCAGCCGAGGAUUGGACGGGGCUGGAUGAAGAUGAAGAUGCUCAUGUUUGGGAAGACAAUUGGGAUGAUGAUAACGUAGAAGAUGAUUUCUCAAAUCAACUGAGAGCGGAGCUGGAAAAACAUGGUUACAAAAUGGAGACAUCAUAGCGGCUGACAAGGCCUUUCAGUAUACGAUGACAUUGGAUAUGGACAUUUAUAUUUGACUGCAUACUAACGUACUGCAUACAUGCUAGUUGACCACGCAGCAACAGAAGACAUUUGAAGAUGUUGAUUUAUUUCUUUCUUUUUUUGUAACAAAUAUUGAUAAAAGUAAAGUGUUUGGACAAAAUGGUUCCUUUCAAGUGUUUUUACUGCAAAUAUUUAGACAGUGACAUUUACAGAUAGUAAAUUUGCAGUUGCUUGCACACUACAUUAGUGUUUAUUUUAUCUUUUGUGUGUUGUCCACCCUAUAAACACUGUGUCUGAUCUA